AGUCAAUCCCAGACAGCCUAGGGCCUAGAGUAUAGACCUCGAUCCAACGAUUCGACGAAACAGUCAUGUUGCUCCGAAUCGUUCUUCUGAUGAGCGUGUGCACGCUCUGUUGGAGUCUCGACCUAGGCAAGGUGUCCGACGCGAUCCACGAUUGUUGCGAGAACCUGAACAUUCCCGACGAUGUCGCGAAUCGCUUGGAGAGUAUCGUGACAGCGAAAGUUCAAGAAGCCACAGCUUUGGGUCAAGAGAAGAAUAUUCUGCAAAAUGAUGUCCGUUCGGACGCCACCAAGACUCUGGCUGACGCUGGUUUCCAAGACAAGCUACAAGCACUGGCCCAGUGCGUGGCGAACAAGCUCAAAUGAAACAUAUCUCCGAAAUUCGUUCGACUCCAAUCGCUCCUCCGACUCCAAGAGCUUCUACAAUAAUCAUAUUUCUCUUGAGCUGAGUCGGAGGCAGGAAUAAAUAACCCUUUUUU